GACGAACGCUGGCGGCGUGCUUAACACAUGCAAGUCGAACGGAAAGGCCCUGCUUUUGUGGGGUGCUCGAGUGGCGAACGGGUGAGUAACACGUGAGUAACCUGCCCUUGACUUUGGGAUAACUUCAGGAAACUGGGGCUAAUACCGGGUAGGAGCUCCUGCUGCAUGGUGGGGGUUGGAAAGUUUCGGCGGUUGGGGAUGGACUCGCGGCUUAUCAGCUUGUUGGUGGGGUAGUGGCUUACCAAGGCUUUGACGGGUAGCCGGCCUGAGAGGGUGACCGGCCACAUUGGGACUGAGGUACGGCCCAGACUCCUACGGGAGGCAGCAGUGGGGAAUAUUGCACAAUGGGCGGAAGCCUGAUGCAGCAACGCCGCGUGCGGGAUGACGGCCUUCGGGUUGUAAACCGCUUUCACCUGUGACGAAGCGUGAGUGACGGUAAUGGGUAAAGAAGCACCGGCUAACUACGUG
rnacentral:rRNA from 1 species